UAGAGGUGUUUCUGCGUUUGCGUCGAAACAUCGCGAGAUAGAACCCCUGCCUUUGUCUACCAUCGUUUCCUCGGCGGGUUCGCCCGCCAGUGAGGACACUCCAAACCCUUUUGCAAUAGUCGUAACCGUACUAAAAUUUAAUCGUUUUA
rnacentral:misc_RNA from 1 species